rnacentral:misc_RNA from 1 species
GAUGAAGAACGUAGCGAAAUGCGAUAAGUAAUGUGAAUUGCAGAAUUCAGUGAAUCAUCGAAUCUUUGAACGCACCUUGCGCCCUUUGGCCAUUCCGAAGGGCAUGCCUGUUUGAGUAUCAUGAACACCUCAACUCUUCAUGGUUUUCCGUGAUGAGCUUGGACUUUGGGGGUCUUGCUGGCCUAUGGUCAGCUCCUCUAAAAUAAAUCAGCUUGCCAGUGUUUGGUGGGUAUCACAGGUGUGAUAACUAUCUACGCUUGUGGUUUUCCACCAGGUAACCUUCAGCAAUGGAGGUUCGCUGGAGCUCACAGAUGUGUCUCUCCGCAGUGAGGACAGCUCUUUGAAUGUUUGAUCUCAAAUCAGGUAGGACUACCCGCUGAACUUAAGCAUAUCAAUAAGCGGAGGA